CCUACGGGAGGCAGCAGUGAGGAAUAUUGCACAAUGGGGGAAACCCUGAUGCAGCGACGCCGCGUGAGUGAAGAAGUAAUUCGUUAUGUAAAGCUCUAUCAGCAGGGAAGAAAAUGACGGUACCUGAGUAAGAAGCCCCGGCUAACUACGUGCCAGCAGCCGCGGUAAUACGUAGGGGGCAAGCGUUAUCCGGAUUUACUGGGUGGAAAGGGAGCGUAGACGGCAGUGCAAGUCUGGAGUGAAAGGCGGGGGCUCAACCCCCGGACUGCUCUGGAAACUGGACGGCUGGAGUGCAGGAGAGGUAAGUGGAAUUCCUAGUGUAGCGGUGAAAUGCGUAGAUAUUAGGAAGAACACCAGUGGCGAAGGCGGCUUACUGGACUGUAACUGACGUUGAGGCUCGAAAGCGUGGGGAGCAAACAGGAUUAGAUACCCUUGUAGUC
rnacentral:rRNA from 1 species